UGCCAGAAAACUAUGAUGUGUUAUUUCCAAGCACAUAUCUGACUGCUUUUUGUGGAAACCUGCUUAUUUGAGUCAAUUGUGA
rnacentral:snoRNA from 1 species